CCAACAUUUUUUACCGCACUAUUAUGCAAAACUCUUUAAGAUGGGAAAAUAAAAGACAUUUUCUACUUUUUAAUGUCAGUAAGUGCUACCAACUUUUUGCUACAUUUAUAUAUUUACAGCCCGGCCAAUUUAUAGUGGUUAUAGUUAGUGAUGUCCCGAACUGUUCGCCGAAUGGUUCGCCACGAACGGUUCACGAACGGUUCGCCACG